rnacentral:misc_RNA from 1 species
UUUAUUUUUUAUAUUUAGGUGUUGCAUCUAUUCUGGGGCAUUGAUUAAUAGUUAACGAAUCAAUUUCGCAUGGCAAUCUUCAUAAAUGGCAAACAUUGAUUAGAGACAUUGUAAAUAGGCAAAGAAAUUUCAAUACAACACAGAGAUCAAAGAAAAUACAUUUAUAGUCUAUCAAAGAAAAACCAACAUCUAAAGAAUCAUAACAACAUGCCCAAUCGGCAAACACAAGGAAGCACAUUUAACAUAAACAAUUGAUCACAUUUUUUCAGCCAUAUAUACAUGAGCGACACCUAUUACCAGCAUUAGCACCAUGCAAAGUCAACUUAUGCAAUGCCAAUUGGCAAGCAAGUGCAACAUCAACUAAAAAUCUACAUCAUUCAUCUCUUAAUGCAGGAAAAAUAAAACGCAAAUCAAUGUACUUCUAAAUCAGCCUACGACGCAAACACCGCCACCGGCCACCACCAUCACCACCGUUACUUCACUUUCGCGGCCAGAUCUAUACUGCAAAAGGUGCAAAAUUUUCUCUGGUUUUCCUAUCUGCGUAGGAUUUCUCUUUCCUACAGCAAAAUAGAAGAAAAUAGGGCAAAAAGAAUUCGUGAAUGGUGGGAAUACUUUUUAGGGUAUUACAGAGUAAGCGCGUAGCGAGGGAACCUAUACAUAACACGUGCGAACUUUUGAGAACGUGUAUGAUAUUUUACACCGUUGAAUUA